rnacentral:rRNA from 1 species
GACGAACGCUGGCGGCGUGCCUAAUACAUGCAAGUUGAGCGCUGAAGGUUGGUACUUGUACCGACUGGAUGAGCAGCGAACGGGUGAGUAACGCGUGGGGAAUCUGCCUUUGAGCGGGGGAAAACUUUGGAAACGAAAGCCUAUAACGCAAUAAAACCUUUAACAACAGUUUUAAGGUUGAAAGAAGCCAUUGCAUUACCCAAAGAAGAAUCCGCGUUGGAUUAGCUAGUUGGUGAGGUAAAGGCUCACCAAGGCGAUGAUACAUAGCCGACCUGAGAGGGUGAUCGGCCACAUUGGGACUGAGACACGGCCCAAACUCCUACGGGAGGCAGCAGUAGGGAAUCUUCGGCAAUGGACGAAAGUCUGACCGAGCAACGCCGCGUGAGUGAAGAAGGUUUUCGGAUCGUAAAACUCUGUUGGUAGAGAAGAACGUUGGUGAGAGUGGAAAGCUCAUCAAGUGACGGUAACUACCCAGAAAGGGACGGCUAACUACGUG